UGUUGCCUACGGGAGGCAGCAGUAGGGAAUCUUCCACAAUGGACGAAAGUCUGAUGGAGCAACGCCGCGUGAGUGAAGAAGGGUUUCGGCUCGUAAAGCUCUGUUGGGAGUGGAGAAAGAUAGAGGUAGUAAAUGGCCUUUAUUUGAAGGUAAUUACUUAGAAAGUCACGGCUAACUACGUGCCAGCAGCCGCGGUAAUACGUAGGUGGCAAGCGUUGUCCGGAUUUAUUGGGCGUA
rnacentral:rRNA from 1 species